AGUGAACGCUGGCGGUAGGCCUAACACAUGCAAGUCGAACGGCAGCACAGUAAGAGCUUGCUCUUACGGGUGGCGAGUGGCGGACGGGUGAGGAAUACAUCGGAAUCUACUUUUUCGUGGGGGAUAACGUAGGGAAACUUACGCUAAUACCGCAUACGACCUACGGGUGAAAGCAGGGGAUCUUCGGACCUUGCGCGAUUGAAUGAGCCGAUGUCGGAUUAGCUAGUUGGCGGGGUAAAGGCCCACCAAGGCGACGAUCCGUAGCUGGUCUGAGAGGAUGAUCAGCCACACUGGAACUGAGACACGGUCCAGACUCCUACGGGAGGCAGCAGUGGGGAAUAUUGGACAAUGGGCGCAAGCCUGAUCCAGCCAUGCCGCGUGGGUGAAGAAGGCCUUCGGGCUGUAAAGCCCUUUUGUUGGGAAAGAAAAGCAGCAGGUUAAUACCCCGCUGUUCUGACGGUACCCAAAGAAUAAGCACCGGCUAACUUCGUG
rnacentral:rRNA from 1 species